rnacentral:rRNA from 1 species
GUUGCUCGGAAUUAUUGGGCGUAAAGCGCGCGUAGGCGGCCACUUAAGUCGGAUGUGAAAGCCCCUGGCUCAACUGGGGAAGUGCACCCGAAACUGAAUGGCUUGAGUGCGAAAGAGGGUCGCGGAAUUCCCGGUGUAGAGGUGAAAUUCGUAGAUAUCGGGAGGAACACCGGGGCGAAGGCGGCGACCUGGGCAGUAACUGACGCUGAGGAGCGAAAGCGUGGGGAGCGAACAGG